AAAUUGAAGAGUUUGAUCAUGGCUCAGAUUGAACGCUGGCGGCAGGCCUAACACAUGCAAGUCGAACGGUAACAGGAAGCAGCUUGCUGCUUUGCUGACGAGUGGCGGACGGG
rnacentral:rRNA from 5 species